GACGAACGCUGGCGGCGUGCUUAACACAUGCAAGUCGAACGCUGAAGCUCAGCUUGCUGGGUGGAUGAGUGGCGAACGGGUGAGUAACACGUUAGUAACCUGCCCUCUUCUUUGGGAUAACGCCCGGAAACGUGUGCUAAUACUGGAUAUUCACUGAUUCUCGCAUGGGGGUUGGUGGAAAGGUUUUUUCUGGUGGGGGAUGGGCUCGCGGCCUAUCAGCUUGUUGGUGGGGUGUUGGCAUACCAAGGCUUUGACGGCUAGCCUGCCUGAGAGGCUGAGCGGUUACAUUGGGACUGAGAUACGGACCAGACUCGUAAGGGAGGCAGCAGUGGGGAGUAUGGCAGAAUGGGGGAAAGCCUGAUGCAGCGACGAAGCGUGAGGGAUGGAGGCCGUCGGGUUGUAAAACUCUUUAGGUCAUGGUAAAGCCGCCGCUUUGGGUUGUGGUGAGGGUAGUGGGUAAAGAAGCGCCGGCUAACUACGUG
rnacentral:rRNA from 1 species